UCCAACUCGACCCGCCCCUGGAGGCGGACCCGAGUUGACUUAAACUCUGGGGCCGCGAGGCGCUGCGUUUUCCCCGCUCACCCUGGCUGGGUUGCGUUCCCGUUGGACCAAAGAAGUAAACACGCACUGUGGAGUGGUACUGACACGGGGAAAUGGGAACAUAUACAGUAAUGAAUGAGUAAUAUCAUAUUUAAAGAUUCCUGACAUUCAAAACAGCUGGCUUUUAAUACACUGCUACUGCAUCAAAUCGACAAUGAACUGGAAUGCAAAAUCAGAGAGUGUCACCUUACCACCACAGUAUCCUAAAAAACAGGCAUCUUUUUUGGAGCAAGCUUUAGUAAACACACUUACCACAGCAUCUCAAAGUUCUUUAAACCAUCCUGGAAGUAACCAAGAACCAUGCCUAUUUCUCAGUAAUUUAAAUCCAGUUUCACAGCCGCUGCUCAACAUCAGAAAUUAUAAAACUCCUCAACAAAUCCCUAUUUCUGAUAUGCAUAGUGGGACCAUUGUGACCUCACAAACUUCAGUAGAAAGAAUAACAUAUGCAAAUGUUAAAGGACCCAAACAACCAAAUCACGAUUUGCAAAUGUCUUCAGGAGUUACACAGGAUGUAUGGUUGAACUCACCAAUGAGGAAUUCUAUGCUUUCUCAUACAGGGACAACUGUAUCUCAUCAGACUGGUUUUGGAACGAAUACACCCAAUGUACGUGCACUACAGAAUCAAUUUCUAACAUCAGAUACCUAUUCUAUGCAACUACAAAUGAUCCCUUCUAAUUCCAGAAGAGUUCCUAUAACUUAUCAAGGAAACCCGAGACUUAACCUACCUUUAUCAGAGCAACAGGUUGAUUGGGCACAGCAGUGUGCAUCCAGUGGGUUGACUUACCCAGAUUACAGACCACUUCCAAAGCAAUAUAGUUAUUCAUCACAAAGCUUUUUGCAGGAUCCUACUCUUCAGAAACAAACCCCUAUGUCAUCUGUAUCAUUACAAGUUAAAAAUAGUCAAUCUCCAAAUCCUGCCCUGACUUUACAGUCAAAGCAGAUUGGAACUGUACCAUCAUAUCAAUAUGCAGUUACUCAAACUGACAAAAGACCUCCUCCUCCUCCUUAUGACUGUAGGUAUGCAAGCCAGCCUCUGCAAAGUACUCAGCAUGUUGUUAAACACACUUCUAUGGAAGUUCCUCAGAGUCAAGAAAUGCACUUACCUGAAACGAGAAAAGACUUUUGUAGAGGCUUUCAGCAGCAGUGGCAAAACCUUAAUGAAAAUUUCAACACAAUGGGAAAUUCCUGUAACUUGAGAGUAAAUACCAAUGUCAAUCAGCCUUUUAAUGAACCUAUUAGAUCUUCUGUGGAUGGUGUUCAGGCUCUUACUCAAAAUAAUCAAGAGAAAAGAGUGGAUUCUCGAAAUCUAACUUCAAAUCAAGUACUGGACACAAGUGCCACAAAAGAAAAGUUAGUGAGGGAUAUUAAAACAUUAGUAGAAAUAAAAAAGAAGUUUUCGGACCUUGCAAGGAAAAUUAAAAUUAAUAAAAAUCUUUUGAUGGCAGCAGGUUGUAUUAAAACAACUAAUAACUCUUACAGUGAAUCAGCUCAAAAUUGUGGGUUGUCUCUGAAACAAACUGCCAAAAUCCAGUCUGGACCACAGGUAACCCUAGGCCCUCCAGAUGCUGUGGAGGAUAAACCACCAACGGUAAUGGAAUCUGCAGAAGAAACAAAUAGAACACACAAUGCAUUGAAUUCCAACCUUCAGGACAGAAAUUUUAACCAAGUCAGUUCUGUUUUACUAAAUUCUGGCUGUUCACAAGUUGUGAGUUCUUUAAAGACAUCAACUGUUGAGAUUACCCAGGCAAUAUUAAAUAACACCCAGUUUUCAUCAGGAAAUUUAGUCAACGUUGCACAAAAUGUGCCAACAAAUUCUGAAGCAACUUCUCUUCCUCAGUCUACAUCUUUUGAGGAAUAUGUUUCAAAAUAUCCAAAUAAAAAUAGGCUAAUUCUCAGUUUACUUGCAUCUGGAAAUAAAACUCAGAAGAAAUUAUUAAAAGAUACUAAUGAACAUAUUCAUGAUUCUAAACUGCAUAGUUUUGAAAUGAAUCCAAAUAUCCAGAACACUGGUAACCAAGUGAAUUUGAAACCCAUGGAAACUCCAGGUACUCCAAGUACUUGUAAUAUAAAUGCCAAGAUUUCAAACAACUCUUACUUUGAGCAUAAAUCCUUCAAUGGAAUGUCUUCUAAAAGUGACUCUCACUUUUCCAUGGAAUUGCUAGCAACGUGUCUUUCUUUGUGGAAAAAGCAACCUUCAGAACCUACGGAAGAAAAACAGUGUAAUGAGUCAAAAACAAACACAACAGCAGUUGGAAUUUCAAAGCCUGUGGACAUCUGUGACAAGAGUCCAUUUUCAACUGUGGGAAAUUCUCAGAAUAAAAUUGUAAACAGCUCACAAGAAACAGUUUUAUCAAUGGUAGCACAGAAUUAUGAGUCUUCAGGAGCAACUACUACAAAGGGGAUUGCUGUAGUAUCACCCUUAAUUCUUUCAGAUGUCAAAACAUUGUCUGUCAAAGGUAUAACACCUGAAGCUUUACCUGAAACAAUGUAUCCAGUUAUUAAAGAAGGCAGUGUUUGUAGCUUACAAAACAAAUCAACGGAAAACACUGCUGCUUUGAAUGUUAAUGAACCAGUGACAAGUACCACAAGCACCAAGAUUUUCCCACUAAUUCAGAAGGAUAAGCAAAGUGAAUCAACUAAUACUAAUUCAGAAGUCACACCUAAUACCAGUCAAGGAAAGCAUAACAAAUCAGAACCAGAUAUCCGGUGUCCUGUGAGUGAUCAGCAAACCACAUAUAUAUCAAAGGACAGUGAUAUCGUGGGCAGAGAUGUAUUACAGAUUGGCAGUAUUUGUUCUCUUGUUGAAGGUGAUACCGCUUAUAAUUCCCAAAUAGCAAAGAUAUUCAACUUGCCCUCUUUGCAAAAGGUUGAGCCACAGAAACCUCUACCCAAUCACCAAGUAAUGAAUAAUAGACAAAAUGAACAAUUUGACAAUAUCACUGGAAAUAAAGACUUUGUCUUUCAAAAAGAGAAUUUUGUACAGUGCACAGAUGUUUCACAUAAAAUAACUGAUCAGUCAGAGUCACUGCAACCUCCAGAACCAUCGACUUUGAAGUACAUUGGAGCAAAGAGUGGAAUUCUUGAGGAAGGCAGUUUAGAGCAUAUCACUAAAAAUGAAAGCAUGGCUAAUGAUAUGUGUUCACCAGCUGCUAUUCAGCACGAUAGUUACCCUCAGGAAGCGGCCCAGGAUCCUACAACAAAUGAGAAUCUCAAAGAUAAGACAUCGAUCUUAUACCUACAUGAUCAGCUGUCAGAACUUUUAAAAGAGUUUCCCUAUGGUAUUGAACCUGUGAACAUGCAUGAAGGUUUUGUGGUCCAACAAAUGGCACACCGAAUCUCAAAAGCUCAAACUUGUGAUAAAACCAGUUGUGACUCCAAAGACUCAACAGACCAGAUACAAAUUACAAUAUUAAAUUCAGAGCAAAUGAAAGAAUUAUUUCCUGAACAGGACGAUCAACCCAAUGAGGUAGACAAACUGACAGAGCCUCAGAAAGAAAAGCCUGUCACAAAAGAAGGGAACCAGUGUGACCCACAAGCACAUACAGUUGAAGAAACCUGUGAUUCUGUAAUACUGGAUUCAGAAAAAGAUGAUGUCCGUUGCUGUGCAUUGGGGUGGCUGUCUAUGGUUUAUGAAGGAGUACCUCAAUGCCAGUGUAAUUCCACUAAGAACUCAACUUCAAAGGAAGAAAAAGGGAAAGAUCCACAUUCUCCUUUGGAGACCAAUGGUUAUAAACAAGGAGAGAGAACUUCUGACAGAGAUGUUCCUAUUGCAUUUAACAGUCCUCCAAAUAAUCAGCCGAAGAUUCCUCUGACUUGUCCAGUUGAGAAAAAACCUUUUCCUGAAACAGAGCAAGGCAGGAAUAUAAAAGAUAAAUCCAAAUCAGAACAUAACAGCUCAUUAAGGACAGAACAAGAAUUAUCUGGUCACUUUUUAUCUAAAGGUGAUAAAAAACCAGAUUCUUUGCAGAGUCACAAAAGAAAAAGAAAACUGCAAUUUCAUGAGAUAACUUUUCAUUCCACUAACAAAAUUGCAAAAUUUUCUCAAGAGAGCCUGCAGAGGAAGCUCAUGGCACAAAACUUACGACCACUAAAACCAAAGAUGGGUUUUUUGACAAGUAAAAAUAAAGAUUUGCAUGUGAAGAAUGGUUCUUUGGUACAGUCAGUAUCACCGGAAAAGAGAAAAUUGAAAGCAGGUGGCUCUAAAAAAGUUUUGGAAAAGAAGUUAGAUGAAGGGAGCAUACUUGAUUCAGAGAUAAAGAGGAAGAAGUAUGAUAAACAAGAGCAGAAUAAGAAUGUGGGAGGUGGUGCAUUUAAAUUCUGUAACCCUUUCUCAACCACAGGUGAAAGAGCCAGGAUUAAAGAAAAGACAGUGUCAAAUGUUAAGUCCUCAGGCUCUAUGGAUAGCUCAUCUAAAAUUAAUAGAGUUCUAUCACCAAAGGAGUAUUUAUCAAGGCAGAAGCAUAAAGAAGCAUUAAAGAAAAACUAUCUGAAAAACGUACCAUGUGAUUCUCAGUAUAUGAGGUCCAAUAAACUUUCUACGCGAGUGGGAAGUUGUGGGAGAUCAAAUGAGAGACACAAUGGCAGUGUACAGACCUCUAAGGAAUCAUUAAAUAUUGGUACAAGCCAUGGUAAAAACCUCAAAGCCCAUCAUUCCAAGGAGUCUAAAACAUACGUUUCAAGGAAUAUUAAAGGAACAGUUGGUGGAAAGCAACCUGAUAAAAUGUGGAUUGAUAAAACCAAAUUAGACAAAAAUUUAAGUAAUGUAAAUAAUGACGUUGAAUUCAGCCAAAUGGCUUCCCAAGCAAAAGAUCAAAGGAAACUGUAUCUGAACAGAGUUGCAUUUAAAUGCACUGAACGUGAGCGCAUUUGUCUCACAAAAUUAGACAGUUCACCCAGGAAGCUUAAUAAAGAAAAGAGACCAGAAAGUAAACCUAAGACCCUUUUACCUGUAAAAGAUACCACAGAGAAACUAAGCAUGCUGGAGUUUAAAUUAUGUCCAGAUGGACUAUUUAAGAAUACAAACCCUGUUGAAGACCAGAAGGAUCUGCCAUUUACUCCUAGGAAGGAGCAAGCUCCUGUGCAAGUUUCAGGAAUAAAAAGUACAAAAGAAGACUGGUUAAAAUGUGUGACUGAGGAGAAAAGGAUGCCGGAAGCCAACCAAGAAAUAGGGUUUUGCAUUGAGAACUGGAACCUAGGGUUCAGGAAUUUUAUUUUAGUUUUGGUUAAUUAAAUACACAAAGAAGAGUUCAUAAGAGUCUUUUGAAAAUUGGGAGAAGCAGAAUUUUGCCAGGAGCAACAAUAAAGAGAAGCAAGAGAAGAAGUGUGACAAAGGUUGAGAAGAGCUUAUAAAGAAUAUAUGUAAGCAGGCAUGUAGAAAUGGAGUCAUACAUUGAAGAUACAUAAAGGGAAAAAGAAACCUGAAUGAAAGAAUUGAAGGAAGAAGAAAUGUACACUCUUAAUUAGAACAGGAAGACAACUGAAAGAGGGGAAAAUGAAUUAGUGAGAGAGUAGAAAACACACCCCUACAGUUGGAACACAGGAAGUGAAAUAUGAGAAAGAUGGAAAUGGGUGUGGAGAUUGCAGCAAGAAAGUACCUUGGAAAAAGGGAGGGCCAUAAGUUUUGCCUCAGAGAGAGUUGAGAGGCAUAACUUGAAUCUGAAUCUGAAAAUACUCAGAAGACAGAUAUAUGCACAGGUUGACCAGAGGCUCAGGGAGCAGCAUGAGCUAAACAACAGACAUGAAGAUACCUGCAGACAGGAUGAGCAAUAAACACUGAAGGUGGGACAUCAGUACUCAGGAUCACUAUGAAAAUGACACAAAGCAGGGCCCAGGCGCAAUGAGAGAUGCAGCAGGGUGAGAGAAAAGCUAAGAAACAAGUCCAGAGCUCUGUCAAAAGUCUUACGAGACUCGGGGAAAUCAUGAAAGACAGAACAUACCAAGAGGAAGAGACUGGAGAACUGGAACUCCCAGAGAGCUAUAAAAAACACACUUUAGAUAAGCGACACCUAAAUUUGGUGGCAAAGGUUGGAGCGUAGAUGGAGCAAGCCGUGAAACUGUCAGGGUGAGGUAGAAGAAGAAGAGGUGACAGAAUCCAGCGGAAAGCAGCUUAGAGCUGCACCUCAGGUAUCAGCAUUCAUAACAGAAAGCUGAUGUGCAUGGAGAGAAAUUUGAAACAUAAAGAAUUAAGAGUAACCAUCCUCUGUUACCAAAAAAAUAAAGAAAGAAGAGGACAGAGUGCUUGACCCACCCAGGCAGAAAAAGAUGAUAAUGUUUUGGCUAAUUCAAGACUCUCCAAGAGAAGUUUCAGUGCAGAUGGAUUUGAGACACUACAAAACCCAG